GAGCCUUAACCCCGGAUCUGCGGUGGGUACGGGCAGACUAGAGUGCAGUAGGGGAGACUGGAAUCCUGGUGUAGCGUGAAAUGCGCAGAUAUCAGGAGGAACACCGAUGGCGAAGGCAGGUCUCUGGGCUGUAACUGACGCUGAGGAGCGAAAGCAUGGGGAGCGAACAGGAUUAGAUACCCUGGUAGUCCAUGCCGUAAACGUUGGGCACUAGGUGUGGGGGACAUUCCACGUUUUCCGCGCCGUAGCUAACGCAUUAAAGUGCCCCGCCUGGGGAGUACGGCCGCAAGGCUAAAACUCAAAGGAAUUGACGGGGGCCCGCACAAGCGGCGGAGCAUGCGGAUUAAUUCGAUGCAACGCGAAGAACCUUACCAAGGCUUGACAUGAACCGGAAUGAUGCAGAGAUGUGUCAGCCACUUGUGGCCGGUUUACAGGUGGUGCAUGGUUGUCGUCAGCUCGUGUCGUGAGAUGUUGGGUUAAGUCCCGCAACGAGCGCAACCCUCGUUCCAUGUUGCCAGCGGGUUAUGCCGGGGACUCAUGGGAGACUGGCGGGGUCAACUCGGAGGAAGGUGGGGACGACGUCAAAUCAUCAUGCCCCUUAUGUCUUGGGCUUCACGCAUGCUACAAUGGCCGGUACAAAGGGUUGCGAUACUGUGAGGUGGAGCUAAUCCCAAAAAGCCGGUCUCAGUUCGGAUUGAGGUCUGCAACCCGACCUCAUGAAGUUGGAGUCGCUAGUAAUUGCAGAUCAGCAACGCUGCGGUGAAUACGUUCCCGGCCUUCGCACAACACCGCCCGUC
rnacentral:rRNA from 1 species